UCUUAUGUACAUGCCUACAACAUUAAUGCACUAGAUCCCAUAGAGCUUUGCAGUUAAGAAUUGUUGGGCUAGAGUAGUACUGAUAUGGGUGACCUCUUAGGAAGUCUUGGUGUUUUACAAGCC
rnacentral:rRNA from 1 species